rnacentral:rRNA from 1 species
UACGAAGGGGGCUAGCGUUGUUCGGAAUCACUGGGCGUAAAGCGCACGUAGGCGGAUUUGUUAGUCAGGGGUGAAAUCCCGGGGCUCAACCUCGGAACUGCCUUUGAUACUGCAAGUCUCGAGUCCGGAAGAGGUGAGUGGAAUUCCUAGUGUAGAGGUGAAAUUCGUAGAUAUUAGGAAGAACACCAGUGGCGAAGGCGGCUCACUGGUCCGGUACUGACGCUGAGGAGCGAAAGCGUGGGGAGCGAACAGG